CACUUCACAUGUAUCAUGAUCCCCACAUGCCCUUUUGAAAGCUGUCAUACAGUCCCUACUUUUGUACAGCGUUUUCAAACGAGAGAGAAGAGAGAACUCCUUUCCUUCUUUGCAAAGCUGGUGGUCACAGAUUUCACUGAAUCUAUUUGGCUCCAUGCUUUGAACUUUGAAAUUCAGAUUCCACUCUCAAUUCUCUCACAAUUUUUACAUCUUGCUAGAGUCGUAGAGAAGUUGUGUGUUCCGGCUACUAGCGGCGGCGAUGGCGACUACACCCACUAGCAGAGGUACCGGAUCUAGCGGAUUUGGUGGUGACGGCGGGUAGGGUUUCGUGGCAAGCGGCGAAGAAAGCCGCUUCGUGGUUGUUCAGACCCGACCUAAAAAGGACCACCGUUCCAGCUUUCUUCCACAUCAAUGUUUAGCGACCAUGAAGAGGGAAGAACUGAGAGAAAAAAAGUGUGUGUGUGAGAGAGAGAGAGGGGGGGGGGGAGGAGAGACGAGAGAGAAGAUAGAGGUGGCACAUGGAACUAAGGUUCCGACGACGACAAGCUAGCACUGUGUUAUUGGUGGUAGCGGAUGGUGAUGGCAUAAGGUUUUAGGGUUCUGGUGUUCAAGUGACAUCAGAGACGCUGAGGGAAACAAUUUACAUCUUUUUCAUUGCCAAGCAUCAGGGUUUCUCGACCUUCAGUCUCCAAAAUGUUAUCACUAAGUGGCAAAGACAUAAACAUGUAGUAUAGUAUUUGGGUCCAUGGUUGUUGUAUUUCAGCUUGUUGGCAGAUUGGAUGAAGGGAUUAUUUCACCAGAUCUUGGAACACUUGAUUACAAAGGUCUUUACAAGGCAAGAAAAGAUACUUCUUUUAUAUGCAUAUAUACGUGUUAAUGGUUCCAACUUGGUUAUGUGAAUGCUCGGUUUUGUUUAUGUUUUUUGUUUACAACCUAACCCAAUCCAACCUAUAUCAACCCGAGUUUAUUUUAGCCCGCUACCCAAAUUGUGAUCUUGCCCUUUGUGCGUGUAGAUAUUAAUAGUUUAUAUGAAUUUUUUAAACUUACGGUUUUCUACUUUAUUUUUGGUUUUUUCUUAUCAAAAGAUCUAAAGCCCUUAUGAUGGGUCCAAAGUGAAUAAGUUGUUUUUGAAGAAAAAAACUGGAUCAGAGGUGAGAACCAUAUAUAUGGCCAAUGAUUUUGAAUCCUCAUGAAAAAGAAAGACAACUAAUAAAGCAAAAGAAAUGCAGGCAUCAAGGACAUGAAGAUGUAUGCCAUGGCAAUAGUCACUUUAUUUUUUAAUAUACAUUGAUUAUUUGAUUUAUUUUAUAAAAUUAAAGGUAUUAUUUUGGUAGAAACUUACAUUUGAAAUAUUGUUUGAAUUAAUAUGCAUAAGUGUGUUAUCUCAGUUUUGACUUAUGUUACUUAAGGGAAGGCACCGACUUGCGAGCGAGGUGACCAUUCUAUGGCUUCUUUUGUGUUAAAUUGCACACAACAUUUAAUUAUUUUGAGAAUUCCAAGGCCUUGGCCUCAUCCUUAACUCUAAGUUUUUAGCCAGUGAGUAUGGCCCCUAAGAAGAGUUUUGAUUAAGAAGUUGACCAAAAUGUCGGAGAGUGUAGUGAGCGGGCUGCUUUCAUGAGUCUUGAAGACAAGGUGUGUGAUGUGGUUGAAGUGGCCGGGCUAAUCGUUAUGUCAACAACAUUAACUGUUACAGCCGAUCUUACUCAUAAGCAAGGGUGGAUGUUGCGGGGCAUGAAAUCGGGAUAGAGUGGGCAGUUUUCAAGAUCCGGAAGGCUUGGAACCUGAAAAGUGUUCUGAAACCGACGAAUCUCAUGAAAGCUCCAAGUCGGCUUCCUCCAAAUCAGAGUCGUAAAUGAGCCAUGGUUCUUGAUAUAUCUAACUACUAAUAAACUGUAACCAGUUUAAUGUAAUUACUAAUAAACUGUAACUAAUUUGAUGUAUGUAAUUACUUGGGUUUGUCCAAAUAUAUGUAAAUACCAUGAAACAGGAUAUGAGGAACAUUUCGCCUUAA